AUGUGGUUUAAUUCGAUGAUACGCGAGGAACCCUACCUGGGCUUAAAUGUAGAGUGCAUUUUUAGAGAUAGAAAUUCCCUUCGGGGCUUUCUGCAAGGUGCUGCAUGGUUGUCGUCAGCUCGUGCCGUGAGGUGUCGGGUUAAGUCCCAUAACGAGCGCAACCCUUAUCGUUAGUUGCCAUCUGGUAAUGCAGGGGACUCUAGCGAAACUGCCACCGUAAGGUGAGAGGAAGGUGGGAUGAUGUCAAAUCAGCACGGCCCUUAUGUCCAGGGCUACACACGUGUUACAAUGGUCGGUACAGAGGGCAGCUACCUGGUGACAGGAUGCUAAUCUCGAAAACCGGUCUCAGUUCGGAUCGAAGUCUGCAACUCGACUUCGUGAAGCUGGAAUCUGUAGUAAUCGUGUCUCAAAAUGGCACGGUGAAUAUGUCCCUGCUCCUU
rnacentral:rRNA from 1 species